rnacentral:rRNA from 1 species
CCUACGGGGAGCAGCAGUGAGGAAUAUUGGUCAAUGGCCGAGAGCCUGAACCAGCCAAGUCGCGUGAGGGAAGACGGCCCUACGGGUUGUAAACCUCUUUUGUCGGGGAACAAAACCAGUCACGUGUGACGCAUUGAGAGUACCCGAAGAAAAAGCAUCGGCUAACUCCGUGCCAGCAGCCGCGGUAAUACGGAGGAUGCGAGCGUUAUCCGGAUUUAUUGGGUUUAAAGGGUGCGUAGGCGGAGGUGCAAGUCAGCGGUAAAAUUGCGGGGCUCAACCCCGUAGCGCCGUUGAAACUGGAUGACUUGAGUGCGCAAGAAGUACGCGGAAUGCGUGGUGUAGCGGUGAAAUGCAUAGAUAUCACGCAGAACUCCGAUUGCGAAGGCAGCAUACCGGCGCGAGACUGACGCUGAUGCACGAAAGCGUGGGUAUCGAACAGGAUUAGAUACCCCGGUAGUC